rnacentral:lncRNA from 1 species
CUGGUUAGAAAAGUCUCAGGGAUCAGAACAAGUGACGAAGGUCGGGACCGAAAUACGUUCAUUUUUAAGGAUGCAAUAGGAAGCUUGAUCUUCAUUUACUAAGAGCAUAGGUCACUGACUUUAUCUGCUCUGGACACAGAUAUCUGGUAUAUGGCAAUGAGAUUGCCUUAAAAGGAAUGCAAGUAGAAUCUGCUUUUUACCCAAAAUAGUGCUCUUUCUUUUUCAAGAAUGUUGAAUUAAUUCAAACAUUAAGAACAGCUAGAAUAAACAAGCACGCCAUUUAUUUAUUAUUUUUUUAAAAUCUAUUUCAUUUUCUGUCAGAGCUAUUCAUAUCAUCAUCACCUAGGAUACACUGCAAAGAUGCAUCUGCUCAUAGUUCUAGCUCAGACCAGGUGGGAAUUGUUGCAGAAGUUUGGAGGAUAGGAUUAUCUUCACUACCCCACUAACAACAGCUGUUCUCUCUUGUUUUCCCUCUUCCUUUCAUUCUCUCUCUCUCUUUUUUUUUUUUUUUCUUUUUCUGUUUUAAUGGUCGUUUGCUUUUUUUCACUGAUUAUCUGACCAGAGCUUCAGAUUUAAUGUGGGUGACAGCAUGCACUAAACUAGUGCUCUAUCAGUACAGUCACAAGCGACUCCUCCAUAAGGCAAGCACUGCAUUUCAUGGGCUUUAACAUUAGCAUAUGCUCACAAUUCACUGUCAUUCAAACAAUUUUUUUUUCAUGAAAGGAACCAUUACAAGGAACGUUCAGAUUUUUCAAGCUUUUGUGGGAUGGAAGAAACACUUUCUGCAGUGUGCCUACCUACUCUUCAGUUCAAGGACUCCAGUUGCAAAACUUCCUGAUAAUCUUUCUGACUUAGCAGACCUUGGGAAGGAUUGGAUUUCUUUCAUUUUUGCAACUUUUAAGUACUUCAUAAGAAUAGUACUACCCAUCCUCCUGCUGCUUUAG